AUGAAUGAAGUUUUACGUGCUUUCAUUGGACGAUUUGUGGUAGUUUACUUUGAUGACAUAUUGAUUUAUAGUAGAUCUUUGGAAGAACAUUUGGAACAUUUACGUGCUGUUUUUAUUGCUCUACGUGAUGCACGUUUGUUUGGUAACCUUGGGAAGUGCACCUUUUGCACCGACCGAGUAUCUUUUCUUGGCUAUGUUGUUACUCCACAGGGUAUUGAAGUUGAUAAAGCCAAGAUUGAAGCUAUUGAGAGUUGGCCGCAGCCCAAAACGGUCACACAAGUGAGGAGUUUUCUUGGCCUCGCUGGAUUCUAUAGGCGUUUUGUGAGAGAUUUCAGCACCAUUGCUGCACCUCUCAAUGAGCUUACAAAGAAAGAUGUGCCUUUUCUUUGGGGUACCGCACAGGAAGAAGCCUUCACGGUAUUGAAAGAUAAGUUGACACAUGCUCCUUUACUCCAACUUCCUGAUUUUAAUAAGACUUUUGAGCUUGAAUGUGAUGCUAGUGGAAUUGGAUUAGGAGGUGUGUUAUUACAAGAUGGCAAACCUGUUGAAUACUUUUCUGAAAAAUUGAGUGGGCCUAGUCUGAAUUAUUCUACUUAUGAUAAAGAAUUAUAUGCUCUUGUUCGGACUUUAGAAACAUGGCAACAUUAUUUAUGGCCCAAAGAAUUUGUUAUACAUUCUGAUCAUGAAUCUUUGAAACAUAUUAAAAGUCAAGCUAAACUGAAUCGUAGACAUGCUAAAUGGGUUGAAUUCAUUGAGACUUUCCCUUAUGUCAUUAAACACAAGAAGGGAAAAGAAAAUGUUAUUGCUGAUGCAUUGUCUCGUCGCUAUACUAUGCUUUCGCAACUUGACUUCAAAAUAUUUGGUUUGGAGACCAUCAAAGAUCAAUAUGUGCAUGAUGCUGAUUUUAAAGAUGUAAUGCAGAAUUGUAAAGAAGGAAGAAUGUGGAACAAGUUUGUCGUUAACGAUGGAUUUGUGUUUCGUGCUAACAAGCUAUGCAUUCCAGCUAGCUCCGUUCGUCUUUUGUUGUUGCAGGAGGCGCAUGGAGGAGGAUUAAUGGGACACUUUGGCGUGAAGAAGACGGAGGACGUACUUGCUACACAUUUCUUUUGGCCAAAGAUGAGACGGGAUGUUGAGCGUUUUAUUGCUCGAUGCACUACAUGUCAAAAAGCUAAGUCACGACUCAAUCCUCAUGGUUUAUAUAUGCCUUUGCCUGUACCUAGUGUUCCUUGGGAGGAUAUAUCUAUGGACUUUGUUUUAGGUUUACCUCGAACAAAGAAGGGGAGGGAUAGCAUAUUUGUUGUCGUGGAUAGAUUCUCGAAAAUGGCACACUUUAUACCUUGUCAUAAAAGCGAUGAUGCUGUUAAUGUUGCUGAUUUGUUCUUUCGUGAAAUUAAUCGUGAUACUAAAUUUCUUAGCCACUUUUGGAGAUGUUUAUGGGCUAAGUUGGGGACUAAACUGCUUUUUAGUACUACUUGUCACCCCCAAACUGAUGGACAAACUGAAGUAGUCAAUAGAACGUUGUCUACUAUGCUUAGGGCUGUUUUGAAGAAUAAUAAGAAAAUGCGGGAGGAAUGGUUGCCUCAUAUUGAAUUUGCUUAUAAUCGUUCAUUGCAUUCUACUACUAAGAUGUGCCCUUUUGAAGUUGUGUAUGGUUUCCUACCUCGUGCACCUAUUGAUUUGUUGCCUCUUCCAUCUUCGGAGAAGGUUAAUUUUGAUGCUAAACAACGUGCUGAAUUGAUUUUAAAAAUGCAUGAGUUAACUAAGGAAAACAUUGAGCGUAUGAAUGCUAAAUAUAAACUUGCUGGAGAUAAGGGUAGAAAACAUGUUGUGUUUGCACCUGGAGAUCUUGUUUGGUUACAUUUGCGUAAGGAUAGAUUUCCUGAUUUGCGCAAAUCAAAGUUAAUGCCACGUGCUGAUGGUCCCUUUAAGGUGUUAGAGAAAAUAAAUGAUAAUGCAUAUAAACUGGAGCUGCCUGCAGAUUUUGGGGUUAGUCCCACUUUUAACAUUGCAGAUUUGAAGCCUUAUUUGGGUGAGGAAGAUGAACUUCCGUCGAGGACGACUUCAUUUCAAGAAGGGGAGGAUGAUGAGGACAUCAAUACAAUUGUUACACCCACAGCCCCUGCUGCUAUACAUACUAGACCAAUUACUAGAGCUCGUGCACGCCAACUAAAUUACCAGCCCUUAGGGCAUCGUUUAGACUUUGGGGUUGUGUUUAGAUUAAAAGUUCGCCAUAGCUGCAACUUCGCGUACUUCGUUUGUGUUCAACGACCAGACAAAGUUUCUUGCUUGUUCUUCGUUUGCUCGCAGGAAACAGACCCUCGUGGUCAGGUUGAUCGUGCUCCGGCGUGGUCAAUAACCUCUCGGAGUUGGUUU
rnacentral:rRNA from 1 species